rnacentral:rRNA from 1 species
UACGGAGGGGGCUAGCGUUGUUCGGAAUUACUGGGCGUAAAGCGCACGUAGGCGGCUUUGUAAGUUAGAGGUGAAAGCCUGGAGCUUAACUCCAGAACUGCCUUUAAGACUGCAUCGCUUGAACGUCGGAGAGGUGAGUGGAAUUCCGAGUGUAGAGGUGAAAUUCGUAGAUAUUCGGAAGAACACCAGUGGCGAAGGCGGCUCACUGGACGACUGUUGACGCUGAGGUGCGAAAGCGUGGGGAGCAAACAGG